GACGAACGCUGGCGGCGUGCUUAACACAUGCAAGUCGAACGGAAAGGCCCUGCUUUUGUGGGGUGCUCGAGUGGCGAACGGGUGAGUAACACGUGAUUAACCUGCCCUUGACUUUGGGAUAACUUCAGGAAACUGGGGCUAAUACCGGAUAGGAGCUCCUGCUGCAUGGUGGGGGUUGGAAAGUUUCGGCGGUUGGGGAUGGACUCGCGGCGUAUCAGCUUGUUGGUGGGGUAGUGGCUUACCAAGGCUUUGACGGGUAGCCGGCCUGAGAGGGUGACCGGCCACAUUGGGACUGAGAUACGGCCCAGACUCCUACGGGAGGCAGCAGUGGGGAAUAUUGCACAAUGGGCGGAAGCCUGAUGCAGCAACGCCGCGUGCGGGAUGACGGCCUUCGGGUUGUAAACCGCUUUCGCCUGUGACGAAGCGUGAGUGACGGUAAUGGGUAAAGAAGCACCGGCUAACUACGUG
rnacentral:rRNA from 1 species